GAUGAACGCUGGCGGCGUGCCUAAUACAUGCAAGUCGAGCGAACGGACGAGAAGCUUGCUUCUCUGAUGUUAGCGGCGGACGGGUGAGUAACACGUGGAUAACCUACCUAUAAGACUGGGAUAACUUCGGGAAACCGGAGCUAAUACCGGAUAAUAUUUUGAACCGCAUGGUUCAAAAGUGAAAGACGGUCUUGCUGUCACUUAUCGAUGGAUCCGCGCUGCAUUAGCUAGUUGGUAAGGUAACGGCUUACCAAGGCAACGAUGCAUAGCCGACCUGAGAGGGUGAUCGGCCACACUGGAACUGAGACACGGUCCAGACUCCUAAGGGAGGCAGCAGUAGGGAAUCUUCCGCAAUGGGCGAAAGCCUGACGGAGCAACGCCGCGUGAGUGAUGAAGGUCUUCGGAUCGUAAAACUCUGUUAUUAGGGAAGAACAUAUGUGUAAGUAACUGUGCACAUCUUGACGGUACCUAAUCAGAAAGCCACGGCUAACUACGUG
rnacentral:rRNA from 1 species